rnacentral:rRNA from 1 species
UACGAAGGGGGCUAGCGUUGCUCGGAAUGACUGGGCGUAAAGGGCGCGUAGGCGGAUAGUACAGUCAGAUGUGAAAUUCCCGGGCUCAACCUGGGGGCUGCAUUUGAUACGUGCUGUCUAGAGUCCGGAAGAGGGUGGUGGAAUUCCCAGUGUAGAGGUGAAAUUCGUAGAUAUUGGGAAGAACACCGGUGGCGAAGGCGGC